rnacentral:misc_RNA from 1 species
AACGCACAUUGCGCCCCUUGGUAUUCCAUGGGGCAUGCCUGUUCGAGCGUCAUUUGAACCCUCAAGCUCUGCUUGGUGUUGGGUGUUUGUCCCGCCUUUUGCGUGUGGACUCGCCUUAAAGUGAUUGGCAGCCAUGGAAUCCGGCUUUGAGCGCAGCACAUUGCGUACUUACUGGCGGUCCAUUGGCAUCCAAAAGCCCUUUUUUAACUCUUGACCUCGGAUCAGGUAGGGAUACCCGCUGAACUUAA